UACGAAGGGGGCGAGCGUUGUUCGGAUUUACUGGGCGUAAAGGGCGCGUAGGCGGCCCUCUUUGUCGCGUGUGAAAUCCCCGGGCUCAACCUGGGAAUUGCAUUCGAAACUGCGAGGCUAGGGUACGGAAGAGGGAAGCGGAAUUUCUGGUGUAGCGGUGAAAUGCGUAGAUAUCAGAAGGAACAUCAGUGGCGAAAGCGGCUUCCUGGUCCAGUACCGACGUUCAGGCACGAAAGCGUGGGGAGCAAACAGG
rnacentral:rRNA from 1 species